AGCAUCUGGGGNAUUAANGCCAUGGCNNGAGUCGACACNAGCAAUGGUGUGGCAUANCGGCUCAGUAACACGUAGUCAACAUGCCCAGGGGACGUGGAUAACCUCGGGAAACUGAGGAUAAACCGCGAUAGGUCACUACUUCUGGAAUGGGUAAUGACCCAAACCUAUAUGGCCCCUGGAUUGGACUGCGGCCGAUCAGGCUGUUGGUGAGGUAAUGGCCCACCAAACCUGUAACCGGUACGGGCUCUGAGAGGAGGAGCCCGGAGAUGGGCACUGAGACAAGGGCCCAGGCCCUAUGGGGCGCAGCAGGCGCGAAACCUCUGCAAUAGGCGAAAGCUUGACAGGGUUACUCUGAGUGAUUUCCGUUAAGGAGAUCUUUUGGCACCUCUAAAAAUGGUGCAGAAUAAGGGGUGGGCAAGUCUGGUGUCAGCCGCCGCGGUAAUACCAGCACCCCGAGUGGUCGGGACGUUUAUUGGGCCUAAAGCAUCCGUAGCCGGUUCUACAAGUCUUCCGUUAAAUCCACCAGCUCAACAGAUGGGCUGCGGAAGAUACUAUGGAGCUAGGAGGCGGGAGAGGCAAGCGGUACUCGAUGGGUAGGGGUAAAAUCCGUUGAUCCAUUGAAGACCACCAGUGGCGAAGGCGGCUUGCCAGAACGCGCUCGACGGUGAGGGAUGAAAGCUGGGGGAGCAACCCGGAUAAAUACCCGGGUAGUCCCAGCUGUAAACGAUGCAGACUCGGUGAUGAAUUGGCUUUAUUCCAACUCACUGCCCCAAGGAAGCCCGUUAGUUUUCCGCCCUGGGGAAAACGGUCCCAAAACUUGAAUUUAAGAAAUUUGCGGGGGAAGCACCAACAGNGGUGAGCCUUGCCGGUUCAUUUGAAAUCCACCGCCGAAAUUCCUUA
rnacentral:rRNA from 1 species